GUAGAGCAUGAGACUCUUAAUCUCAGG
rnacentral:piRNA from 1 species